CUCUCGGUAGCCAAGUUGGUUUAAGGCGCAAGACUGUAAUGUGUUAACAAAGUAAUCUUGAGAUCGGGCGUUCGACUCGCCCCCGGGAGA
rfam:Tetrapisispora phaffii CBS 4417 chromosome 3, complete genome